rnacentral:lncRNA from 1 species
CUUUCAUCACAGAACAUCACUGUUUUGUCAUUUGUUGCAGCCAAAAUUAUACACAUAUGGAGACACCUGCUGGUUGCUGCUCAUGCUUCUGUUGACUUCCCCCUGUUGACCAAGACAGGUCUCAAUGGGCCAGUGACAGGAGCGAUAAGGGACUAACUGAAAAGGAAGAGAGUGUGUUAACUGAAGCUAGUCCAGGUGUAUAUAAUGCAUUCUGCCAGAGCCAACCCAUUCAGCAUGAAUAAAACGUGAGCAUGAUGAGUACCUGCCAGAACCUGCCACCUGGUUCCAACGGUCACCUAAAAGGAACUUUCAUUGGUCGCGUUCCCCUGCUCAGACGUUGCAUGCAUCAACCAAUGGUUGCGUGCCACGUCAUCGACUGUGCUGUCAGGCACCAGAUGGCUCUAACAUAUGUGGUUAGCUGAUAGGUUAAAUAUCUAUCCAGGCGUUGUGUAAAAUCUGGCUUCAGCAACAUCUGAGUAUGGGUACAUGAACAUUGUCUUAAAAAACAAAUAUGGCCACUCAGAACAGACAGUGGAGCAG